AAAUUGAAGAGUUUGAUCAUGGCUCAGAUUGAACGCUGGCGGCAGGCCUAACACAUGCAAGUCGAGCGGUAGCACAGAGAGCUUGCUCUCGGGUGACGAGCGGCGGACGGGUGAGUAAUGUCUGGGAAACUGCCUGAUGGAGGGGGAUAACUACUGGAAACGGUAGCUAAUACCGCAUAACGUCGUAAGACCAAAGUGGGGGACCUUCGGGCCUCAUGCCAUCAGAUGUGCCCAGAUGGGAUUAGCUAGUAGGUGGGGUAACGGCUCACCUAGGCGACGAUCCCUAGCUGGUCUGAGAGGAUGACCAGCCACACUGGAACUGAGACACGGUCCAGACUCCUACGGGAGGCAGCAGUGGGGAAUAUUGCACAAUGGGCGCAAGCCUGAUGCAGCCAUGCCGCGUGUGUGAAGAAGGCCUUCGGGUUGUAAAGCACUUUCAGCGGGGAGGAAGGCGGUGAGGUUAAUAACCUCAUCGAUUGACGUUACCCGCAGAAGAAGCACCGGCUAACUCCGUGCCAGCAGCCGCGGUAAUACGGAGGGUGCAAGCGUUAAUCGGAAUUACUGGGCGUAAAGCGCACGCAGGCGGUCUGUCAAGUCGGAUGUGAAAUCCCCGGGCUCAACCUGGGAACUGCAUUCGAAACUGGCAGGCUAGAGUCUUGUAGAGGGGGGUAGAAUUCCAGGUGUAGCGGUGAAAUGCGUAGAGAUCUGGAGGAAUACCGGUGGCGAAGGCGGCCCCCUGGACAAAGACUGACGCUCAGGUGCGAAAGCGUGGGGAGCAAACAGGAUUAGAUACCCUGGUAGUCCACGCCGUAAACGAUGUCGAUUUGGAGGUUGUGCCCUUGAGGCGUGGCUUCCGGAGCUAACGCGUUAAAUCGACCGCCUGGGGAGUACGGCCGCAAGGUUAAAACUCAAAUGAAUUGACGGGGGCCCGCACAAGCGGUGGAGCAUGUGGUUUAAUUCGAUGCAACGCGAAGAACCUUACCUGGUCUUGACAUCCACAGAACUUAGCAGAGAUGCUUUGGUGCCUUCGGGAACUGUGAGACAGGUGCUGCAUGGCUGUCGUCAGCUCGUGUUGUGAAAUGUUGGGUUAAGUCCCGCAACGAGCGCAACCCUUAUCCUUUGUUGCCAGCGGUUAGGCCGGGAACUCAAAGGAGACUGCCAGUGAUAAACUGGAGGAAGGUGGGGAUGACGUCAAGUCAUCAUGGCCCUUACGACCAGGGCUACACACGUGCUACAAUGGCAUAUACAAAGAGAAGCGACCUCGCGAGAGCAAGCGGACCUCAUAAAGUAUGUCGUAGUCCGGAUUGGAGUCUGCAACUCGACUCCAUGAAGUCGGAAUCGCUAGUAAUCGUAGAUCAGAAUGCUACGGUGAAUACGUUCCCGGGCCUUGUACACACCGCCCGUCACACCAUGGGAGUGGGUUGCAAAAGAAGUAGGUAGCUUAACCUUCGGGAGGGCGCUUACCACUUUGUGAUUCAUGACUGGGGUGAAGUCGUAACAAGGUAACCGUAGGGGAACCUGCGGUUGGAUCACCUCCUUACCUUAAAGAA
rnacentral:rRNA from 1 species